GACGAACGCNGGCGGCGUGCCUAAUACAUGCAAGUAGAACGCUGAAGGGAGAGCUUGCUCUUCUGGAUGAGUUGCGAACGGGUGAGUAACGCGUAGGUAACCUGCCUGGUAGCAGGGGAUAACUAUUGGAAACGAUAGCUAAUACCGCAUAACAUUGACUAUUGCAUGAUAGUCAAUUGAAAGGUGCAAAUGCACCACUACCAGAUGGACCUGCGUUGUAUUAGCUAGUUGGUGGGGUAACGGCUCACCAAGGCGACGAUACAUAGCCGACCUGAGAGGGUGAUCGGCCACACUGGGACUGAGACACGGCCCAGACUCCUACGGGAGGCAGCAGUAGGGAAUCUUCGGCAAUGGACGGAAGUCUGACCGAGCAACGCCGCGUGAGUGAAGAAGGUUUUCGGAUCGUAAAGCUCUGUUGUAAGAGAAGAACGAGUGUGAGAGUGGAAAGUUCACACNGNGACGGU
rnacentral:rRNA from 1 species